rnacentral:rRNA from 1 species
UACGGAGGGGGCGAGCGUUGUCCGAAGUUACUGGGCGUAAAGCGCGCGUAGGCGGGUUGGUAAGUCCGCUGUGAAAGCCCGGAGCUCAACUCCGGAGGGUCGGUGGAUACUGCCAGUCUUGAAGGUGCUAGGGGGAGAUGGAAUUACCGGUGUAGCGGUGAAAUGCGUAGAUAUCGGGAGGAACACCAGUGGCGAAGGCGACUUCCUGGCCUGUUCUUGACGCUGAGGCGCGAAAGCUAGGGUAGCAAACGGG